GCCCAACGGCGCUUCGUACUGAACCGGCUCAUGCAGCACCUGAUUCGAGGCGGCUACAAUUCGAUCCAUGGCGGGUAUUUGAACCCGGUUCAACCUUCGGUGUCCUGGUUAGCUCAAAACUCCAAACCGCCAUAGCCGCCUCUAUAAGUACCCCCUCUAUUCCCAUAAUACGUCCGUGGGUCACCGACUAGUCCCCUCUUCGUCUUGACGUCGUCUCUUCUCCGGCUUUUUUACUUCCUUGCUUCGAUCGGUGGCGAGAACUCCAUUCUCUCUUUCUUCCGGCCGCACGGAAUUUGGUUGUUGUCUCACCUCCUGUAGUACUCACAGCAACUACCAUAAUGUAUCCUGUUUUCUUGAUUCCAAGGUGCGAUUCUCUUGCUUUGUCUGGCCUCAAUUUAAUGCUUUUUUCGUAUGCACAUACAAAAAAUGAUUUCAAGGAACCUUGUUGAUAAGGUUUUGUUGGGCAAACAGGUUCACUUUUCAUAUGCUUAAUAAGACAUGUGAUUGGAGAAGUCAAACACCUGGUUUUGGUUUUGUUACUCCGGAGGUGAGAAACCUAUUUCCCAACCUGGUUCUAUCUCUCCGGCGUCCAGGUGUUCAACAGUGUGCUGGUCACCAGCAUACCACAACCACUAUAGAACAUUGGUUAGCACAUACUUGAUCCAACAUCAUGUAAAAACCUACUGACUAUGCAUUCCAGGGGAGGGGGGGAGUUAUACAAGAUUUACUUGUAUGAAGGGACUAGCGUAGAAGCAUAGUUGUUUGCUUGUAUUUAUUAUUUAUGCUGCACUUUUUUAAGUAUGCACUGUUACUUAAAAAAUAAAUAAAUAUUUUGAGAUAGAUUAUUAGGCUCCACUAUCGUAAGCUCUAAAACCUUUCCCCAUCUACACGGUCUCAGCUUUAUAAAUCAAAUUGUGGUCCAUCAAGACCCGAAGAAGUGCUAUAACUGGCUCUAAAUCUGAAGUCAAUCUUUUACAUUUUACCAAUUUUAAGCUAAUGCAAUCUCUGGGAAAGAGAGAGGUUUGCCAUGAAUCCCAAAAAGCAGGCAAAGGAACCACUAUCUUUGUUUCACAAUUUAAGCUCAUGCAAACCGGGAGCAGACCUCCAAGGUUUACUCAGACCAAUAAAGAAGGGGAACAUAGCCAUCUCUAAUAGGGGGAACUACAUUUAGGCAAAAAAUACAAGCCAAAGAUCCAAAUUGAGCAUAGAACAAAAUCUAAUGAUUGGAUAAAAUUUGAUCAUGCAUCAACAUAAUAUGUUUAUUAUAUUACUGUCAUAACAUCUAAUAAUGAACUUAUAAUAUCUACAUAGUACAUAUAAUCCAGUAAAAUCCAAUAAUUAGAUUACUAUUUUACUGAAUAUAGCAUCCUUUAGGAGUAUUCCACCAGACCAGUGGAUGUUGUCAUAUUAAGUAAACAAUUUCGGCUGCCCUAUUUUUUUGGCACCUGCUCUGGCAACUGCUUAAUGGUGAACAAUGGCAGAUUUUUAUUUCUUUAUCUUAUUCUCUCUCUGAUUUCCCCUACCUCUUUUAGCAUGCAACCAAAUUCCUGGGCUUGAGAAUUGCAAUCGAAAUCAUGGGCAAGCCAACCCGCUAGCCCUAUAGGCCUAACCUGCCUAAACCAGCCUUGGGCUAAGGAUAAUCAUCCAGUUGUAAUACCCCCACUUUCUAGCAUCUUAUUUAUACCUACUAGGGUUGAACUAGAUACAUUAUAGGAUGUAUCGAUAUGUAUGCAUAGGACCCACUUGGAAGUAAAAUUACUUGUGUAGGAAUAUCUUGGGAGCAUAGGACUCUAAGAACUAAAAUACAAUUACUAAUAAGAAGUAUAAAUUACAAAGGUUCAAGCACCAGGUUGCAACUACUAGAGUGUUAGGAAACCUCAUUCUUACCUAUUGAACAGUCAUCGCAUACUUGCUGCUACCUAAUUCUUAUUUGCACUGGCACAUCAUUCUUACCACUACUACAACCACCACCUGAUACUUACUGCCACCUCAUGCUUGUUUAACUGCCACUUCAAGCUCCUCAUUGUUAAAACAGCGAUCUCAUGCUUGCAAGUCAGACACGAAGAUGGCCAUACUUAAACCUUGCUACUAACUAAUGAUGGCUGGAUGCCUCAGCAAAAUCAACCAGCUCUAUAUAGGAGGGUGCAGCCCGCUUUCUACCAUUUUUGCUACCCCAGAAAAUUUUAGCAACCUAUAGAGCAGAGAACUAGUAAAGAAAAGAGGGUGAAAAAAAGCAGUAGCAAAUGGGUGAUUAACUAUAUAAAAAAAAGGGAGAAAACUAGUGUGAUGAAGCUUUUGGGCCUGAAAUCUGCACGAAGUAUAUAUGCAUCGCCUGCAUCCUAUUUUGGAAGUGAUAACUGCAUGUUUUAAUGAUUCACGAUCCAUUCUAAGCCUUUGCUCCUAUGUGGGCUUGUUUUAUUUCAUAGGCUUAAACUGUAGCAAUUUGUUUUGUUAUUUGAAAACUAAAUCCCAUCUAUCCUUGCCGUAGGAAAUCAAUCAUAGUUUUGUGAUUUCUAAUCUCUUCAUCUUUAUAUAGUCGUUUUAGAUCAGUUCUGGAAUCUUGUUCUUGUCGAAUUUAUAUGAUAAGUGAGAGGCAGUUGGACUAAGCUAAUAGGCCUAAAGUAAUUUUGGUGUACAUAUUGAAGCCACUACUUAAGAAAUAAGGUAAUGUUUGUAUAUAAGGUUGUUAUUAUAUUAGGAGCAGUGAGAGUAUGUUGGAAUGUACGCAUAAAAGAAGAGCCACUUGACUGAACCAUUUUGUCUAGUUUAAGGUAAUGGAACAUAGUUAACCCAGUUAUGAUUCAGGGAUAUAAGUGGGGCUGUCAUUUGAAGUAUUCAUAUAAAGGUUUAAUGUGGAUGAGACAUCAGCCUGCUACGUAUAAUCGAAAGGUCAUUUUGAUUAAGUGAUUUGGAGGUAAAUUUAUAACUUAUUUGCUUCCACAGACAGUGAAUGAUAUAAUUUCAAGACAUUGAUUGACCAUAAUUUUAAGCAUACUCAGACUUGGUAGAGCCAGGUUUUAGGUCGCGGCAUAGGCAGUUUGGUAGUGGAUUGGACUUGAAGACAUGGUUUUAAUAAACAGGCUCAGCUUGGUCAUUGUUUCUAAUAUAAAAACAUCUACCAGAAACACAUUAGAAAAUGCAGAAUUUAAUUUAAAAAGAGUUGGAUUACACACUUUACAUUAACUUCUUGAAAAAAGAGCGGACAAUUCAAAAUCAAUGAUGGACUAUCUAAAUCCAAGAUCCAAACUGUUCAACAUGAUCUACACUAUAAAAAAUACUUAGAAACCAAAAUUUAUAUGUUUUAUAUUCUCUAAUCUAAUCAUCAAGUAGAUAUUAAAAUGGAUAGUUCUAAUAGCAUGAGAAUAUAAUUUACUAUGAUCUAAUCAUCAAAAUUUAUUAAAUUUAAAUCCACCCAUGUUUUAAGAUGUGUAGAUUAUGAUCCAUAAAAUGGAUUUUCAGUUUAUGUACCCUAUCAUGUGUUUUUAUCAUAAUUUUGCAAUUGAUGCCUUUCAUUUUUGUACAACCUUGAUGCAGGUUAAAGACCACCAAAAUAAUUAAUUCUGGCUUUUAGGCAUUUCUGAUACUGUAGCUUAUGUUCAAUGAUUUAGAGCUUCAAUUUAGAUGGCCUAUGAUUGCUUUUAAAAUUGUGAACUCCAUUUAAAAGGAGUUAAGUGUGCAGACCAACUCACUUAAUACGUGUCAUUUAAAUAACUAACAUUUAGUUACUACAAAUAUAUUGCUAUUGUUUACUAGUAUGUUAUUAUUUUCUGUUGUAUUUCAAGUUAUCUUAUCUUUUGACAAUGGAGCUUAGAAGUUCUCAUAGAAUCAAAAUAAGAAUUGUUAAAUAAAGCGAUGGAACCAUGUAAAUUAAACCUCUGCAGAAUCGCUAACAAAAUUAGCUGAGACCAGGCUGCACAUGGGCCUCUAUUUUGAGGGUAGAGUCAAUCUUGGGCUUCAAUCAAAAUUGCCAAGGCCUAGGCAGGGUCUGGCUUCAAGAUUAAGGUCGAAGUCAACCCCAUUGACAGCCCUGUGAGCAAGAUAUUCAAUUUCCAAAGUGCCAAGAAUGUUCAUGCCAUGUUAUAUAUGUCUACCCAUGCAAUAGUAUUUAGCACUCUAGAAUUACGGCAAUAAUGAACUGUCCCAGUGGGAGGGAUUAUUUCUUUUACAUAAAGCCUUGUAAAACUAUAUUAAAAUUUUAACUACUUAACCAUUAAUAACCCAUUCAGAAACUCAAAAAAUCAUGUUAGUGCCUAAUAAUCAGGAAGCA